UACGGAGGGUGCAAGCGUUAUCCGGAAUCAUUGGGCGUAAAGCGCGUGUAGGCGGUCCGGUAAGUCCGCUGUGAAAGUCGGGGGCUCAACCCUCGGAUGCCGGUGGAUACUGUCGGGCUUGAGUACGGAAGAGGCGAGUGGAAUUCCUGGUGUAGCGGUGAAAUGCGCAGAUAUCAGGAGGAACACCAAUUGCGAAGGCAGCUCGCUGGGACGUUACUGACGCUGAGACGCGAAAGCGUGGGGAGCAAACAGG
rnacentral:rRNA from 1 species